rnacentral:lncRNA from 1 species
AUGAGCCAGGAACCAUGGACAAGAACAUACACACACACACAUACCCCAUAUAUACACACCUACAUAUAUAUACAUCAUACACACAUAUACACACACACCUCAUAUGUACACAUAUACACACCUACAUAUAACAUAUAUACAUACCAUACACAACCCAUAUACACACACAUACACACCUACAUAUAUAAACACACAUAUAUACACACCACACACAUCCUAUAUACACACACAUAUACACACAUAUAUACACACAUACACACACAAUAUAUACAUAUACACACCUACAUAUAUAUACACCAUACACACAUGUAUACACACCAUAUAUACACAUACACACACAUACUCCAUAUGUGCAUAUACACACCUACAUAUAUAUACACAUAUACACGCCAUUCACACAUACCCCAUAUACACACGCACCCCAUAUAUGUACCUAUACACACCUACAUAUAUACACACAUAAAAACCAUACACACACACACACCCCGUAUAUACAGAUAUACACACCUACAUAUAUACACACACAUACACACACACCCCAUAUAUACACAAAUAUACACACCUACAUAUAUACACCAUACACACACAUACACACAUACCCUAUAUAUACAUAUACUCACAUAUAUACACACGCAUGCAUAUACACACACCAUAAUGCACAUAUACAUAUACACACCAUACACACACAAGCAUAUACACAUACAUGCCAUACACACACAUAUACACACAUACAUACACACCAUACACACCAUAUACAUAUAUACACACCAUAUAUACACACACAUACACACACCCCAUACACAUGCAUACCUCAUAUAUAUAAACAUAUACACACCUGCGUAUACCCACACACACCAUACACACGCAUAUAUACACAUAUAUACCCAUACCAUACACACACACCGUACACACAUAUAUACACACACCAUAUAUAGAUUCACAUAUAUGCAUAUGCACACCGUACACACACACCAUACACACACCAUAUAUAUACACACAUAUGUAUACACACACACCAUAUACACACACAUACAUAUCAUACACUAUAUAUACACACUAUGUAUGCACACAUAA